rnacentral:rRNA from 1 species
UGGCUCAGAUUGAACGCUGGCGGCAGGCCUAACACAUGCAAGUCGAGCGGAAACGAAGAGGAGCUUGCUCCUUUGGCGUCGAGCGGCGGACGGGUGAGUAAUGCUUGGGAAUGUGCCUUAUGGUGGGGGACAACAGUUGGAAACGACUGCUAAUACCGCAUAAUGUCUUCGGACCAAAGUGGGGGACCUUCGGGCCUCACGCCAUAAGAUCAGCCCAAGUGGGAUUAGCUAGUUGGUAAGGUAAUGGCUUACCAAGGCGACGAUCCCUAGCUGGUUUGAGAGGAUGAUCAGCCACACUGGGACUGAGACACGGCCCAGACUCCUACGGGAGGCAGCAGUGGGGAAUAUUGCACAAUGGGCGCAAGCCUGAUGCAGCCAUGCCGCGUGUGUGAAGAAGGCCUUCGGGUUGUAAAGCACUUUCAGUAAGGAGGAAAGGUUAAGUGUUAAUAGCACUUAGCUGUGACGUACUACAG